UGAAGCCAUCAAAGGAGCUCUCAGGCCCCCUUCAGAAAGCAGAGGGAAAAAAAAAAAAAACAACACCUGAGCAAGUUCCUGACAUCAACGUCUGAAUCUUCCUCCUCUGAAUGCUGUAGAGAGGAAACGUUUCUCUCUCUGCUCUGAGCCUCAGUUUCUUUUUUUGUAAAAUGAGGACGAUAACGAUUCCAGCGUAGGCAGCUUCAUCGCGUUGCUAUCUGGACCACAGCAGACUCGACUUAAGUGCCAGUUCUCGAGUGAGCCUUCCCUGCCCUCCCAGACUAGACCGUGAACCCCGAUUUCAUGUACUUAUCACAAGAGUUACGAGUGAAUUAUUUUCAAUUUGAUGCCUGUUUCUGCUGCUUGACGCGUUUUCUCUCUGGCUGUCUACGAAAGACAUCCCAAAGUCUGCGUGAUUACGUGGACUCAUGCAAGGAUUCUGGUGGGGUGUCCGGCCUAUCAGUGUUUGGUGCGUAUUUGAUGAAUUAAUGAACAAGCGAGCACAUUCAUGCAAGAUGGGAGGACUCUAGAAAGCUCCUUC